rnacentral:rRNA from 1 species
GAUGAACGCUGGCGGCGUGCCUAAUACAUGCCAGUCGAGCGAACAGACGAGGAGCUUGCUCCUCUGACGUUAGCGGCGGACGGGUGAGUAACACGUGGAUAACCUACCUAUAAGACUGGGAUAACUUCGGGAAACCGGAGCUAAUACCGGAUAAUAUAUUGAACCGCAUGGUUCAAUAGUGAAAGCCGGUUUUGCUGUCACUUAUAGAUGGAUCCGCGCCGCAUUAGCUAGUUGGUAAGGUAACGGCUUACCAAGGCAACGAUGCGUAGCCGACCUGAGAGAGUAUACGCACACACUGAAAAAGAAACAGGGCCGGGAGCGUGGGGGGCGGCAGCAGUGGGAAACUUGGCAGAAAGGGCAAAACCAUGAAGAAGAAGCAACGAGUGAGGGAAAGAGUUGUUAGUAUCAUAAAACUCUUUUAUUAGGGAGAAAGAAAAGGUGAGAGAACUAAACACGUUUAAACGACCAUUAAAAAGAGACCGACGCAUAACAUGGAG